GGGGGUGAAUGUGGCCUGGUGGCUGCCCUGGUCUUCAAAAUCAGUGGGGCAUCGCGCAAUGCGAGGCUCGGUGGGUUCGACUCCCAUUCGCUCCCG
rnacentral:tRNA from 1 species